rnacentral:lncRNA from 1 species
UCUGUCUCCCAAAGUGCUGGGAUUAUAGGCAUGAGCCACCACUCCCAGACAGGACACAGAAAUUUUAAUGAAAAGAAUCAUGUCACCGCAAGUAAACUUCAUCUUGUUUAUAUUAUUUAGGACUUCACAUUUGUCUUCCCAAACCAUGAAAUAUAAUUCUGCUAACAGCAAGUGUUGUGAAUGAGGAAUGAGGAGAAUAGUAGUACACUGGGAAAAAUGUAUUUUAGUAAUUUUUCUAUUUUAAAGAUUAUCACAGAUUUUGCUGUUUGUGCACCGCCAAAUCAGUGAGACCUGCCAGCUGGUGGUGGUGUGCCUUUGAGAAUUUUAGAUGAUGGUCCCCUAGGAGGGUUAUCAAAAAAGGAGAUGGGUGAAAGAUCAGGAGAGUCGAGAAAUCCAUUUUUUGGACAACAUUGUUUUGAAGGCACUACUGGGGCUCUAGGAUCAGGCAGCCAGAUUGAAACCUGGCUCCUCCUUUUCAUGAGUUACUUAACCUCCCUGGCCCUCACUUUUUGUCAACCAGAUGAGAUGAGAAAUGGGAGCAGGUCUCUUACCUCACAAGGUAGCUGCGAGUGUUGAAGACGUUUGUUGGGAGCUGGGGUGAAGCGUGCAGAACUCUGGUUGGUAUGCGGCAGCCACUCAGCAUGUAUUCAUGAUGAGGGAGGCACUCCAGGCACCCUAUCCAGGAUAUUGGGUUGUUAGCUGGGUUUUACUUUAAAAAGCUCAGGACCUAGAACAUUCUAGAAUCCAAGCACUUGCUCACAUACAUAAUUAUUUCUUUAGGAUAAUCUUUGAUGUAGACUUGGAGCCAAAGGGUAUGUAAAAUGUCAGCCCUUUUACCUGUAUUGCCAAAUUGCCUUGAAGAGUUUCUGCUCUUUUGCCCUCCUACCCAUGGUGAUACCUUAAAUUGGAGUCAACACAAAUUUGAGGGUGACUAUGUUAGAUGGAAGGGAUAUAUUAACAGGUAAAACUGACCAUGGCCCCUGCCCUUGUGGAGUGUAUGCUCUGUUGGUUCAUUUCCUCUGCAUUCUAAUUUUCUAGACUUGGGAUCUUACUGUGGAGUUACAGCAUUCUUAAAGUAGCAAGCAAGCAAAAUAAAAGCAAGGAAAAUCAGUUUGAACAUAACCUACGUAUUUUUUAGGAUGUAAGAGUAAUUUAACUGAAUCAAUUCAACUAUGUUGUUAGAGGUGUGAUUUGUAAAUUCUUUAUGAUUGUUUAGAUUUCUAUAACUUAGUAACGUGAAUACACACUUAAUGAAAGAUUUCAGUAAUUUUUGAUUGGGGGAUUAAUCAUAGUGGGAAAAACUGUUUAGGAAAACAUGUCAGUGGAAAUUAAAUCGCCACAGUAUGUAGUGUUAGGGAAUAGCUUCUGUUCGGCAUUUAAUUUGAGUGCUGUAUUCUGACAUUUUUCAGGAACAAAUACAUGUGAUUCAUCUUCUAUAAAUAUUUGCAGUUUCUUCAAGUUGAAAUGAGAAAAGCCCGUAAAUUGAGCACCAGGUCUAAUAAAUCAUUCACUUACGCAAGAACGAAAAGACAGGAAAAGCUAGCAUGUUAAUCUAAUGAAUCGAAUGUUAAAACACCAAUAAAAUAGAAGAUAUUUGACAUUAACUUUAUAGUCAUUGAUGAUAAUCUAAUAGUCAUAACAUUAUUCUUAAAACCUGAAAGAAUGGAUUCCUGCUCCCAAUGCAUUAUUCUUUUUAAUAUCAAACUAAAAUAAUUUUUUUUACCUAUUUUUGGAAGCUUGGAAAUUGAGAUGUCGUUAUCUAAUGUUAACCCAAUUAAGAGAGCUUGGUGUGAUUUCUCAUAUACAGCAUCUAAAUAUUUAAGUUUUAGUGUCUUCUAAAACAUUAUUACAUUCUUCAUACUAUAGUUUUUUAACAUCCUUUACAAAACUUGUAUCAGCUUCACUUUCAAACCAUGCUGGCAUCAAACUCAGGUGUAGUGGUAUCAGAAUGUUAUGAAAUAAUUUUUUAUUUUCAUUAUAAACUCCAUUUUUACAAUAAACAUUUCUCAAC